GCUUCCGUGGUCCAGCGGACAGGACACCAGCCUCCGAAGCUGGAGCCGCAGGUUCGACUCCUGCCGGAAGCA
rnacentral:tRNA from 1 species